GGGGAAUUUUCCGCAAUGGGCGAAAGCCUGACGGAGCAAGACCGCGUGAGGGAGGAAGGCUCUUGGGUUGUAAACCUCUUUUCUCAGGGAAGAAGAAAGUGACGGUACCUGAGGAAUCAGCCUCGGCUAACUCCGUGCCAGCAGCCGCGGUAAUACGGAGGAGGCAAGCGUUAUCCGGAAUUAUUGGGCGUAAAGCGUCCGCAGGUGGCACGCUCAAGUUC
rnacentral:rRNA from 1 species